GGGUUGUGAGGUUAAGCGACUAAGCGUACACGGUGGAUGCCCUGGCAGUCAGAGGCGAUGAAGGGCGUGCUAAUCUGCGAUAAGCGCCGGUAAGGUGAUAUGAACCGUUAUAACCGGCGAUACCCGAAUGGGGAAACCCAGUGUGACUCGUCACACUAUCAUUAACUGAAUCCAUAGGUUAAUGAGGCGAACCGGGGGAACUGAAACAUCUAAGUACCCCGAGGAAAAGAAAUCAACCGAGAUUCCCCCAGUAGCGGCGAGCGAACGGGGAGGAGCCCAGAGCCUGAAUCAGCAUGUGUGUUAGUGGAAGCGUCUGGAAAGGCGCGCGAUACAGGGUGACAGCCCCGUACACAAAAGCGCAUGUGCUGUGAGCUCGAUGAGUAGGGCGGGACACGUGGUAUCCUGUCUGAAUAUGGGGGGACCAUCCUCCAAGGCUAAAUACUCCUGACUGACCGAUAGUGAACCAGUACCGUGAGGGAAAGGCGAAAAGAACCCCGGCGAGGGGAGUGAAAAAGAACCUGAAACCGUGUACGUACAAGCAGUGGGAGCCCCACCACCAAAGCGUUUCGCUUUGUGUGGUGCACAAAGAAGCGUAACGACAGCACUGAAUGACGGUUAACGGAGCGCAAGCGACGUUCAACAUACAAAGUCAAGCAGUGGAGCGCUUUGGGGUGGGGUGACUGCGUACCUUUUGUAUAAUGGGUCAGCGACUUAUAUUCUGUAGCAAGGUUAACCGCAUAGGGGAGCCGGAGGGAAACCGAGUCUUAACCGGGCGUUAAGUUGCAGGGUAUAGACCCGAAACCCGGUGAUCUAGCCAUGGGCAGGUUGAAGGUUGGGUAACACUAACUGGAGGACCGAACCGACUAAUGUUGAAAAAUUAGCGGAUGACCUGUGGCUGGGGGUGAAAGGCCAAUCAAACCGGGAGAUAGCUGGUUCUCCCCGAAAGCUAUUUAGGUAGCGCCUCGUGAACUCAUCUCCGGGGGUAGAGCACUGUUUCGGCUAGGGGGCCAUCCCGGCUUACCAACCCGAUGCAAACUGCGAAUACCGGAGAAUGUUAUCACGGGAGACACACGGCGGGUGCUAACGUCCGUCGUGAAGAGGGAAACAACCCAGACCGCCAGCUAAGGUCCCAAAGUCAUGGUUAAGUGGGAAACGAUGUGGGAAGGCCCAGACAGCCAGGAUGUUGGCUUAGAAGCAGCCAUCAUUUAAAGAAAGCGUAAUAGCUCACUGGUCGAGUCGGCCUGCGCGGAAGAUGUAACGGGGCUAAACCAUGCACCGAAGCUGCGGCAGCGACGCUGAUGCGUUGUUGGGUAGGGGAGCGUUCUGUAAGCCUGCGAAGGUGGCCUGUGAGGGUUGCUGGAGGUAUCAGAAGUGCGAAUGCUGACAUAAGUAACGAUAAAGCGGGUGAAAAGCCCGCUCGCCGGAAGACCAAGGGUUCCUGUCCAACGUUAAUCGGGGCAGGGUGAGUCGACCCCUAAGGCGAGGCCGAAAGGCGUAGUCGAUGGGAAACGGGUUAAUAUUCCCGUACUUGGUGUUACUGCGAAGGGGGGACGGAGAAGGCUAUGUUGGCCGGGCGACGGUUGUCCCGGUUUAAGCGUGUAGGUGUGUGUUCCAGGUAAAUCCGGUUCACUUUAACACUGAGGCGUGACGACGAGGCACUACGGUGCUGAAGCAACAAAUGCCCUGCUUCCAGGAAAAGCCUCUAAGCAUCAGGUAACAUCAAAUCGUACCCCAAACCGACACAGGUGGUCAGGUAGAGAAUACCAAGGCGCUUGAGAGAACUCGGGUGAAGGAACUAGGCAAAAUGGUGCCGUAACUUCGGGAGAAGGCACGCUGACACGUAGGUGAAGUGAUUUACUCAUGGAGCUGAAGUCAGUCGAAGAUACCAGCUGGCUGCAACUGUUUAUUAAAAACACAGCACUGUGCAAACACGAAAGUGGACGUAUACGGUGUGACGCCUGCCCGGUGCCGGAAGGUUAAUUGAUGGGGUCAGCGCAAGCGAAGCUCCUGAUCGAAGCCCCGGUAAACGGCGGCCGUAACUAUAACGGUCCUAAGGUAGCGAAAUUCCUUGUCGGGUAAGUUCCGACCUGCACGAAUGGCGUAAUGAUGGCCAGGCUGUCUCCACCCGAGACUCAGUGAAAUUGAACUCGCUGUGAAGAUGCAGUGUACCCGCGGCAAGACGGAAAGACCCCGUGAACCUUUACUAUAGCUUGACACUGAACAUUGAGCCUUGAUGUGUAGGAUAGGUGGGAGGCUUUGAAGCGUGGACGCCAGUCUGCGUGGAGCCAACCUUGAAAUACCACCCUUUAAUGUUUGAUGUUCUAACGUGGACCCGUAAUCCGGGUUGCGGACAGUGUCUGGUGGGUAGUUUGACUGGGGCGGUCUCCUCCUAAAGAGUAACGGAGGAGCACGAAGGUUGGCUAAUCCUGGUCGGACAUCAGGAGGUUAGUGCAAUGGCAUAAGCCAGCUUGACUGCGAGCGUGACGGCGCGAGCAGGUGCGAAAGCAGGUCAUAGUGAUCCGGUGGUUCUGAAUGGAAGGGCCAUCGCUCAACGGAUAAAAGGUACUCCGGGGAUAACAGGCUGAUACCGCCCAAGAGUUCAUAUCGACGGCGGUGUUUGGCACCUCGAUGUCGGCUCAUCACAUCCUGGGGCUGAAGUAGGUCCCAAGGGUAUGGCUGUUCGCCAUUUAAAGUGGUACGCGAGCUGGGUUUAGAACGUCGUGAGACAGUUCGGUCCCUAUCUGCCGUGGGCGCUGGAGAACUGAGGGGGGCUGCUCCUAGUACGAGAGGACCGGAGUGGACGCAUCACUGGUGUUCGGGUUGUCAUGCCAAUGGCACUGCCCGGUAGCUAAAUGCGGAAGAGAUAAGUGCUGAAAGCAUCUAAGCACGAAACUUGCCCCGAGAUGAGUUCUCCCUGAGACUUAAAGUCUCCUGAAGGAACGUUGAAGACGACGACGUUGAUAGGCCGGGUGUGUAAGCGCAGCGAUGCGUUGAGCUAACCGGUACUAAUGAACCGUGAGGCUUAACCUUACAACGCCGAAG
rnacentral:rRNA from 1 species